rnacentral:rRNA from 1 species
UUGGAGGGCAAGUCUGGUGCCAGCAGCCGCGGUAAUUCCAGCUCCAAUAGCGUAUAUUAAAGUUGUUGCAGUUAAAAAGCUCGUAGUUGAAUUUCGGGAUUCAUCCGUUGGUCGGGCUUCACGGUCCGCACUGGUGUGAUGGGUUCCUACCUUCUGAAUAACCGGCAUGCCAUUAAUUUGGUGCGCCGGGGAAGCAGAACUAUUACCUUGAAAAAAUUAGAGUGCUUAAAGCAGGCAAGUGCCUGAAUAGGUUAGCAUGGAAUAAUAAAAUAGGACGGCAUGGUUCUAUCUUGUUGGUUUCUAGGAUCACCGUAAUGAUUAAUAGGGAUAGUUGGGGGCAUUAGUAUUCAAUUGUCAGAGGUGAAAUUCUUGGAUUUAUUGAAGACUAACUUCUGCGAAAGCAUUUGCCAAGGAUGUUUUCAUUAAUCAAGAACGAAAGUUAGGGGAUCGAAGACGAUCAGAUACCGUCGUAGUCUUAACUAUAAACUAUGCCGACUAGGGAUCGGACGAUGUUAAUUUUUUAAUGACUCGUUCGGCGCCUUACGGGAAAC